UGCAGUCGAACGAUGAUCCCAGCUUGCUGGGGGAUUAGUGGCGAACGGGUGAGUAACACGUGAGUAACCUGCCCUUGACUCUGGGAUAAGCCUGGGAAACUGGGUCUAAUACCGGAUACGACCAUCUGGCGCAUGUCAUGGUGGUGGAAAGCUUUUGUGGUUUUGGAUGGACUCGCGGCCUAUCAGCUUGUUGGUGGGGUAAUGGCCUACCAAGGCGACGACGGGUAGCCGGCCUGAGAGGGUGACCGGCCACACUGGGACUGAGACACGGCCCAGACUCCUACGGGAGGCAGCAGUGGGGAAUAUUGCACAAUGGGCGCAAGCCUGAUGCAGCGACGCCGCGUGAGGGAUGACGGCCUUCGGGUUGUAAACCUCUUUCAGUAGGGAAGAAGCGAAAGUGACGGUACCUGCAGAAGAAGCGCCGGCUAACUACGUGCCAGCAGCCGCGGUAAUACGUAGGGCGCAAGCGUUAUCCGGAAUUAUUGGGCGUAAAGAGCUCGUAGGCGGUUUGUCGCGUCUGCUGUGAAAGACCGGGGCUCAACUCCGGUUCUGCAGUGGGUACGGGCAGACUAGAGUGCAGUAGGGGAGACUGGAAUUCCUGGUGUAGCGGUGAAAUGCGCAGAUAUCAGGAGGAACACCGAUGGCGAAGGCAGGUCUCUGGGCUGUAACUGACGCUGAGGAGCGAAAGCAUGGGGAGCGAACAGGAUUAGAUACCCUGGUAGUCCAUGCCGUAAACGUUGGGCACUAGGUGUGGGGGGACAUUCCACGUUUUCCGCGCCGUAGCUAACGCAUUAAGUGCCCCGCCUGGGGAGUACGGCCGCAAGGC
rnacentral:rRNA from 1 species